UACGUAGGGUGCGAGCGUUGUCCGGAAUUAUUGGGCGUAAAGAGCUCGUAGGCGGUGUGUCACGUCGGUCGUGAAAACUUGGGGCUUAACCCUGAGCUUGCGGUCGAUACGGGCAUGACUGGAGUUCGGCAGGGGAGACUGGAAUUCCUGGUGUAGCGGUGAAAUGCGCAGAUAUCAGGAGGAACACCGGUGGCGAAGGCGGGUCUCUGGGCCGAUACUGACGCUGAGGAGCGAAAGCGUGGGGAGCGAACAGG
rnacentral:rRNA from 1 species